GAAAAGUACAGACUAUUCACCCCAUUGAUUAUUAAGUUUGUUAUAAAAGACGAAAAAACUUGGCACUCAUUGGAGUACUACCCACCUGUAAUACGGACGCGUAUUGCUGGUUCUGAUGAUUUCCCAGUAAGAGAGGGUCCCCUUCAAGCCUGACUGCCAGAAGUUCUCUCAGUCGAGAGCAGCAAGCCUCUCUUAUGGUGAUGUAUACUUAAGCUGUUUCUUUGAGCUG